AAACAUAGAUGUGAAACACUAUGAUCUGGAGAAUGAUUUUCCCACUGACAAACAUCCCUUACACUUUGGGUGUGCUGACCCUGUGUUUUUCCCAAAUGUGGGUAACACAGCCGGAUAAUGUGUGUGUCUGUGUGCACAGG
ensembl:snRNA U1 U1 spliceosomal RNA